GAUGAACGCUGGCGGCGUGCCUAAUACAUGCAAGUCGAGCGAACGGACGAGAAGCUUGCUUCUCUGAUGUUAGCGGCGGACGGGUGAGUAACACGUGGAUAACCUACCUAUAAGACUGGGAUAACUUCGGGAAACCGUAGCUAAUACCGGAUACUAUUUUGAACCGCAUGGUUCAAAAUUAAAAGACGUUCUUGCUGUCACUUAUAGAUGGAUCCGCGCUGCAUUAGCUAGUUGGUAAGGUAACGGCUUACCAAGGCAACGAUGCAUAGCCGACCUGAGAGGGUGAUCGGCCACACUGGAACUGAGACACGGUCCAGACUCCUACGGGAGGCAGCAGUAGGGAAUCUUCCGCAAUGGGCGAAAGCCUGACGGAGCAACGCCGCGUGAGUGAUGAAGGUCUUCGGAUCGUAAAACUCUGUUAUUAGGGAAGAACAUAUGUGUAAGUAACUGUGCACAUCUUGACGGUACCUAAUCAGAAAGCCACGGCUAACUACGUG
rnacentral:rRNA from 1 species